UUUAAAGGUUAAAUGUUUAUUACAUGCAAGUUUCAAAUAUCACUCAGUUAUACAAAUGGCUAGUUCUACAUAUUCAUUCUCAAUGAACUUCCUAAGGGAAAGUUUGGCCACACUUGCCAACCCCCUUGUGGCAGCUGGCCUCUGCACCGAGAGGGGCAGCCAGGGAGCCCAGUGCAGUGAGGGGCAACUAUUCACCAAGGUGCCAGGGCCUGCCUCCUCAUCAGAACCAGUGAGUUACAGUGAGUGGCACACUGAAUCUACAUCUCUGCAGCGGAUCCCGGGCUCUGCUCGCAGGCCACUUCCCGCCUCGCAGCUGGAGCUCAGCAGGCUGGUCCCAGGGCCACCCUGCACUCACUCACCUGCCACCUGUUCUUCCACCAGGUGCUCCAGGGGCAGCCGGACGGAGUCGUGCUCCACCGAGGAAGUAAUGAAAUGGGGCUCGGCCCCCUUCACUGGGCUGUGGUGCCCACCCGUGGGUCCCUUUGAGGUCUGGUUUGCGUGGAAAUGUUUCACCACAGAAUGGAUUACUAAAUUAUUUGACUGCAGAGAUACAGCAAAAAAAGCAUUUACAAAAACUGUGCUGAGGU
rnacentral:lncRNA from 1 species